AUAGAAUUAUUGCUGCGGUUAAAAAGCUCGUAGUUGGAUCUGUGUUGGCCGCCCGGUCUGCUCUUUGUGGUAUGCACUGGUGCGGUCGGCUUUUCUGUCGGAAUGCCUCACGGCGUUGGCUUUCAUCGGCCGGCGUCGCGGGUCCGGCACGGUUUACUUUGAACAAAUCAGAGUGCUUCAAACAGGCGUCUCGCCUGAAUGUUCGUGCAUGGAAUAAUAGAAGAGGAUCACGGUCCGAUUUUAUUGGUUUUGCUGACCGAGAUAAUGGUUAACAGAGACAAACGGGGCCAUUCGUAUUGCUGCGUGAGAGGUGAAAUUCUUGGACCGUAGCAAGACGAACUACAG
rnacentral:rRNA from 1 species